rnacentral:ncRNA from 1 species
CUCCGAGUGCUCUCCUUGGCCGACAGGUCUGGGAAACCCGUUGAACCCCGGUCGUGCUAGGGAUAGGGAAUUGCAAUUAUUUCCCUUGAACGAGGAAUUCCCAGUAAGCGCGAGUCAUUAGCUCGCGUUGAUUACGUCCCUGUCCUUUGUACACACCGCCCGUCGCUACUACCGAUUGAAUGGUUUAGUGAGGUCCUCCGAUUGGACCCGUCCGGGCGGCGACGUCCGAGCCGGCGUCCGAGAAGACGAUCUAACUUGAUCAUUUAGAGGAAGUAAAAGUCGUAACAAGGUUUCCGUAGGUGAACCUGCGGAAGGAUCAUUA